CUGGCAAUGUGAAGAAAAUAGUUUGAAAAGUAGACGCUCUAAGAAAGCACAAAAUUGAAACGCAGAAUAAAGAUUAAAACGAGAAUUUUUGUGUAUUUGACUGAACAUCUUUCAAUUUUGUCAACUUGAGAAGCGUUCUCAAUUUUUCAGCGCGAUCUGCAAUCUAUGUAAACUGCAAGAAGUUCGAAGUAUAGCUGUCACAGACCAGACGCCGUUAUUGUCUGUAGGCAUACUUUGAACAAAGUUUAAAAGAGACACCGAUCAACAUAUUUGUAUGUGUUGGUAGAACAAUUGCUGUCACAGACCCGACGCUCUUAUUGUCUGUAGGCAAUUUGUUCAUUUUGAAAUUCAAAAGAAAUCUGCGAAAGUGUGCGCAAAAGAACGCCAAGUUUGUGAUGUAUUGUUUUAAGUGUUGUUGCACAAAAUUUACUGUACUUAAUAAAGACUCUGCAAGUCUGUUCGAAAAUGGUCUCAGGAAGCGGAGAGCGUAUUUAUGGUGACCAAAGACGGUUAUGAACAGGGGCUUAGCUAGGCUCAGGGAUCCACCGCAAUCUACCUAUUGCAAUACAACUUGCAGAAUCUGAUGCGUUUACGAAAAUGCUUAGUUGGGGAGGCCAAAGAAACAGUGGCAUCCCUAUUUAUAUAUCCCGACAACGUACAAAGUGUCAUGAAAGACUCAACUAACAAGAAUUCGUGAAUUCCCUUCGUACAGUUGUUUAUUUUUUAUCAGCGUCCAACCACAACGAGCACUUACGUAACUAUGGGCAUAAAAUGCAGGUUUGCAGAAGCAAGCGAAUUUGCGUAAUUCAAUGUUGCCAUAUUUUACAUUAUGUUAGUCUGCACAAUUCUACACACUCGGAACUUCCUCAACCCACGGAUAAGAAGCCUUUACUCAAUUGCUAUCCAAACUCUGAAGACGCACUUACCUAUUUAUAAUCAUCCCAGUUAAUUUGUAUGGACCAAAUGGAAAAAUAGAAACGUUCGCCAUGUUUGACGACGGAAGUGCAGUAACCUUGUUGGAGACAGUUAUCGCAGAUCAAUUGAACUUAAAAGGUAAACAAUUUCCAUUAACUCUUCAGUGGUAUAAUAAUAAAAAGAGUAUUGAAAUGUCUAAAAGGGUAACCCUUGAGCCGGAGUACACGCUGAAGUACAUUACUGUAAGGAACCUAGAUUUACCAGUACAGUCUUUUUUAAGGUAUCAAUAUAAACACCAACCUACCAAUCCUUGAUUAUACCCACUUCAAGCCAGUUUUGCUAAUCGCACUCGAUAACGCCCACUUAGGGUUGCCGCACCAAUUAACACAAAGCUGGGAUUGUUAGCUUAUGCCCUAGGCCAGCAAAUGUCAAAAGGACGCAAUACAGAAACAUUUCACGUAGAUUUUUUGGAAACAAAGACCAAACGGCAGGAUGGAGUUACCGAGUUCGUGAAAUCUGAAAAUUUUUGAUUGAAUAAUCGGUCUCCAUUAGAAUCCGUUGAUGAUAUGCUGUUGACCGAAAAAACAAUUGGGAAAACAUUUUGCAAUAGGAUUACCAUGGAAGGAAAACGUAAUUAUGACUAACAGUUACAAGAUGGCUGAAAAGAGGUUACUUUGAACCGAGAGCAAAAUGAACGCUUCACAAAGCGCUACUUAAAGGACCUGACAACUUAAAGUCUUUGGUAGCCAGUUCAGAGAAAAUAAAAUCGGUGUAACUGCAGAUAUACGGAAAAUGUUUUCCCAAAUAAAGGUGCACGAAACAGAUCAACACGCACAGCGCUUCUUAUGGCGAAAUGGAGACUCGGCUCAGCCAACUCGACAUUAUGCUAUGACUUUGCUCACCAUUUUGCGCCGAUUAUGUCAAGAAUCGCAAUUCUGAAGAGUACAGAGAGCAAUUUCCAAGAGCAGCAGAUGCUGUUAUUGAACAUCAUUAAGUGGAUGCUCUAGUCAUAGGUUUUACUUCAGAGGAAGAAGGCAUCGUAAUCUGUAAACAAAUUGUGGAGGCUCAUGGUUAUGGAGGUUUCGAACUACGUAAUUUUUGCUCGAAUUCCGAUAUUUUACAGAGCGUCAAGUCAUCUACAGAACCAAAUGAGCAGUGAAAAGGUCUUGGGCAUUUAUUGGAAUACGCAGCAAGAUGUCAUUCAAUUCGAAACUAAGUUUCAUCGAAUACCGAAAGGAGUAUUAGAUGGAGAUCGAGUUCCAACUAAGAGAGAGCUACUAGGCAUAGUGACGGCAAUAUUUGACCCAUUUGGCUUGACUGCGGACUAUCAUAUAUCUGCAAAAAUAUGGUACAAAUUGGAAUGAGGCUAUUCCGACAGUGUUAAAUAAAAAUUGGAACUACUGGCUAUCAGAACUGUGUCAUAUACACCGAGAGUAUACUCUCCCAACUUAAGUUGUUAUGAAAAAUUGGAUAUGCAUAUUUUUGUUGACGCAAGCCAGGCCGCCUUUGCAGCUAUUGUCUAUUUACGUGUUCUUAGUCCAACUAAAGUUGAUGUUGCCUUUGUCGUGGGAAAAACGCGUUUAGCUCCGAAGAUGCUCCUUUCAAUUCCUAGAUUGGAACAGCAAGCUGCCAUUCUUGGGGUUCAAUUAAAUCACUUGAUACAAGAACACCUUAAGCUACUUAUAGCAGACAUCUUGUUUUGAAGUGAUUUCAAAACCGUACUGCAGUAAAUUUUUUCGAGAGCAAGAAAGUUGAAACCAUUUGUCGGCCACCAUGUUGCUCAGAUUUUAUCAAUGGAACUGGGUACCUGGCAGCGUCCGCGGUGUUCAAGGAUCACCGCGGACGCUGCCACACGUUUGAGUAAUUUACCAAAAAUAUGUAACGACAGUCCUUCGAUACUCGCCACGGUCAGACUGGCCACAGAUGAUUGACAUAGUUUCAACGGAACCAAGAGGAACUUUGCGAACGCAAAAUGCUAAGGUGUCAGGUAGGAGUCUCAGUAAUAGAUUUUAAUCGAUUAUCUUCUUACAUUAAUCUGAAGCGCGUUGGAGCCUGGGUAAACUGGCAUCCAAGAGGGGUCUUUAACUGCCGACGAACUAUCUUAUGCAGAAAUCGAGAUAUGUAGACUGGUCCAGCAAGAGGCAUACGCAAAUGAGAUCACGUCAUUGCUAAACAACAAAGUGCUGUUAAGGGAUAGUGCAAUUUAUGGACUUUCGCCUUACAUAGAGACAAAUGGCCUUUUACACCUCGCGCGUCGAAUCAAUGAGACAUCAUUUCUACCGAGCUCGUGACGGCGACCUAUUCUGCUUCCAACAGAUCACAAAGUGUCCACCCUUAACAUGAGAUACUUUCAUGUAAAAUUUCAUCAUCAAAAUCAGGCAGUUAUAAUCAACCAAUGUCGAUACAAGAUUUUGUGGAAUAUUAAGUGACUUCUAGAAGAUGAAAACGAUCGUCCGCGAUUUCGAAUUCGGAUCGCAGAAGUGUCUCCCGUCGGGAAGAAAUGUGCCACUUCGGCGACACUUCUCGAAGUCACUUCUGCGUAACUUCUGGAACUGUCGCCAAAGUCACUCCUAGAGGCACUCAGAAUGACUUUACAUAUGCUUGUAAAAUAUACCUAGAAGAGUCUUUACCAAAUGGGAAAUCUUGAAUAAAAACAUAUUUUUUUACUUGUUUUGCAAUAUCUUGCACUAAUUUUUUGUAUAAAGGCUUUGUACGCUUGUAUACACGGUCCCUGGCAUCUAGGAAGUUUCGCUGCACAAUGUUAUUUAGGUCCAGCUCCGUCGACAUAAGAAAUUUACUAAUAACCAUU